rnacentral:lncRNA from 1 species
GAAGUCGUUAAGUCAUUACUGUUUUCUUGUUUCUUUCUGAUUAAGCAACGUUAUUAGUAUGGUGAUCAGAUGUUCGGGUCAAUGUUCCUUCAAACGUCCACGCAUUGUAGCAAUGUAUGCCCUGCAGAACUGAUGAUAAUCAAAAUUGUAGCAAUGUUUUCUUGUUUCUUUCUGAUUAAGCAACGUUAUUAGUAUGGUGAUCAGAUGUUCGGGUCAAUGUUCCUUCAAACGUCCACGCAUUGUAGCAAUGUAUGCCCUGCAGAACUGAUGAUAAUCAAAAUUGUUUUGGCAGCCUCAAAUAAAAGUACCUGCAAGCAUUAUUCUUGUAGAUUUAGCUGACAAUCAUUUAUGUGCUUGAG